AUUGAACGCUGGCGGCAUGCUUUACACAUGCAAGUCGAACGGCAGCAUGGGCUUCGGCCUGAUGGCGAGUGGCGAACGGGUGAGUAAUACAUCGGAACAUGCCUAGUUGUGGGGGACAACUACUCGAAAGAGUAGCUAAUACCGCAUAAGAUCUACGGAUGAAAGCAGGGGACCUUCGGGCCUUGCGCAACUAGAGUGGCCGAUGGCAGAUUAGGUAGUUGGUGAGGUAAAGGCUCACCAAGCCUGCGAUCUGUAGCUGGUCUGAGAGGACGACCAGCCAAACUGGGACGGGGACACGGCCCAGACUCCGACGGGAGGCAGCAGUGGGGAAUUUUGGACAAUGGGCGAAGGACUGAUCCAGCAAUGCCGCGUGCAGGACGAAGGCCUUCGGGUUGUAAACUGCUUUUGUACAGAACGAAAAGCUCUGGGUUAAUACCCUGGGGUCAUGACGGUACUGUAAGAAUAAGCACCGGCUAACUACGUGCCAGCAGCCGCCGUAA
rnacentral:rRNA from 1 species